CCAGUGAUGUUCUGGCAGGAUUUGCUCAAGGAGCCCUGGUGGCCUGCUGCAUAGUUUUCUUCGUGUCUGACCUCUUCAAGACUAAGACGACGCUCUCCCUGCCUGCCCCUGCUAUCCGGAAGGAAAUCCUUUCACCUGUGGACAUUAUUGACAGGAACAAUCACCACAACAUGAUUACUUGACAAACCAAACUUGAGAAGUAGCCCCGUUUCAUGCGGACUUAAGGAAACAAUGGAGCUGCGUGGUAUUGUGAGGAGCAGCAUGAUGUGGAGAAGGAAACAAGGACCUGGGGACUCAGACCCAGGUUGCAGUCUUGGCUCUGACACUUCCUGGCUAUGUGAUGUGACUUUGGACACGUUUCUUAACCUCUCUGAGCCUUGGGUUAUUGCUCGUUAAAGAUGAGAUUUACAAGAUCUGUUUUUAUACCUCUUUGCUCAUGGCAGUCUGUGAGCCUUGACUUGCUUCUUUAAAUGGGGUUCACGGACUAACAACAUUUGUAUCCCUGGGGAGCUUGGUAGAAAUAUAGACCUAGGAGAACCCCUGCCCCACCCCAACCUACAGAAUCAGAAUCUUCCUUUGGGUAGGAUCCCCAGGUGAUCUACAUGCACAAUAAGGUUUGAGAAAUACCCCCACUCUUUGCUCAUUAAACCUGCAGACUCUGUUCAGGUGUGCUUCCCCCAAGCCACACUCCUCCGGGGCUUGGCUCGGAGCAUGCUGGGUGCAGACAUCGGUAACCUCUUAGCUUAAUGUACCAAAAUUGCAUGCAUAAAGAUCUGUAUCAAGACUGUCAGAUUCUCAGGGGCAGAAGCAAGUCUUAUCCUCUGCAAAUCCUGCAUGUCUGCCUGGCACUGAAUAGUUCCCGGCAAUUUUGAACCAAUUAAUCAUCACCCGGGUCAAAAAGUCACAUGAUUCUUGGUAACCAUCCAAUUAAACAGGCUGCAGGGACAUAGAGAAUUGCAAAACAUUGACCCUGUCCUUAGGAAUUAAUGAGGACUUAAAUUUCCUCUGAGGUAGAGAUGGAAAAAAACAAAAACUUUAACAGCUAGAAAUCUGCAUAAGAUUCCUGCCAGUUAGAAUAAAUUCGUACAUUCAUUCGUUGAUUCCAAAGUAUUUCCAAAGAACUGUUUAUGUGCAAAAUCCUGACGCAGGUACUUUCAUGCAGUCUGCUUCAUUUAAAUCUUCAAAAACCACUGUUAAAGUAGAUAGGAUUGGGGGGAAAUGAAGAGAAGUUGGUUGAUAGGUAAAAAAAUACAAUUGAUAGAAGGAGUAAGUUCUAAUAUUGGAUAGUAUAUUAGAGAAAUUGUAGUUAACAAUAAUUUAUUGUGUAUUUCAAAAUAACUAGAAGAGAAGAAUUGCAAUGUUCCCAACAUAAAGAAAAGAUAAAUGUUUUAGAUGAUGGAUAUCCCCAUUACCCUGAUUUGAUCAUUGUAUAUCACACACAUGUAUCAAAGUAUCACAUGUACUCCAAAUGUUUGUACAACUAUGAUAUAUCAAU
rnacentral:lncRNA from 1 species